rnacentral:rRNA from 1 species
GAUGAACGCUGGCGGCGUGCCUAAUACAUGCAAGUCGAGCGAACGGACGAGAAGCUUGCUUCUCUGAUGUUAGCGGCGGACGGGUGAGUAACACGUGGAUAACCUACCUAUAAGACUGGGAUAACUUCGGGAAACCGGAGCUAAUACCGGAUAAUAUUUUGAACCGCAUGGUUCAAAAGUGAAAGACGGUCUUGCUGUCACUUAUAGAUGGAUCCGCGCUGCAUUAGCUAGUUGGUAAGGUAACGGCUUACCAAGGCAACGAUGCAUAGCCGACCUGAGAGGGUGAUCGGCCACACUGGAACUGAGACACGGUCCAGACUCCCACGGGAGGCAGCAGUAGGGAAUCUUCCGCAAUGGGCGAAAGCCUGACGGAGCAACGCCGCGUGAGUGAUGAAGGUCUUCGGAUCGUAAAACUCUGUUAUUAGUGAAGAACAUAUGUGUAAGUAACUGUGCACAUCUUGACGGUACCUAAUCAGAAAGCCACGGCUAACUACGUG